GAUGAACGCUGGUGGCGUGCCUAAUACAUGCAAGUCGAGCGAACAGAUAAGGAGCUUGCUCCUUUGACGUUAGCGGCGGACGGGUGAGUAACACGUGGGUAACCUACCUAUAAGACUGGGAUAACUUCGGGAAACCGGAGCUAAUACCGGAUAACAUUUGGAACCGCAUGGUUCUAAAGUGAAAGAUGGUUUUGCUAUCACUUAUAGAUGGACCCGCGCCGUAUUAGCUAGUUGGUAAGGUAACGGCUUACCAAGGCAACGAUACGUAGCCGACCUGAGAGGGUGAUCGGCCACACUGGAACUGAGACACGGUCCAGACUCCUACGGGAGGCAGCAGUAGGGAAUCUUCCGCAAUGGGCGAAAGCCUGACGGAGCAACGCCGCGUGAGUGAUGAAGGGUUUCGGCUCGUAAAACUCUGUUAUUAGGGAAGAACAAACGUGUAAGUAACUGUGCACGUCUUGACGGUACCUAAUCAGAAAGCCACGGCUAACUACGUG
rnacentral:rRNA from 1 species